GGAGGCACAUCCGUCACUGGUGGACGGCCCGGUCUUCAAAACCGGUGAGGGGGAUGAGAAAUCCCCCUGGAAGGUUCGAUUCCUUUGUGCCUCCGCCA
rnacentral:tRNA from 1 species